rnacentral:rRNA from 1 species
GAUGAACGCUGGCGGCGUGCCUAAUACAUGCAAGUCGAGCGAACAGACGAGGAGCUUGCUCCUCUAACGUUAGCGGCGGACGGGUGAGUAACACGUGGAUAACCUACCUAUAAGACUGGGAUAACUUCGGGAAACCGGAGCUAAUACCGGAUAAUAUAUUGAACCGCAUGGUUCAAUAGUGAAAGACGGUUUUGCUGUCACUUAUAGAUGGAUCCGCGCCGCAUUAGCUAGUUGGUAAGGUAACGGCUUACCAAGGCGACGAUGCGUAGCCGACCUGAGAGGGUGAUCGGCCACACUGGAACUGAGACACGGUCCAGACUCCUACGGGAGGCAGCAGUAGGGAAUCUUCCGCAAUGGGCGAAAGCCUGACGGAGCAACGCCGCGUGAGUGAUGAAGGUCUUCGGAUCGUAAAACUCUGUUAUUAGGGAAGAACAAAUGUGUAAGUAACUAUGCACGUCUUGACGGUACCUAAUCAGAAAGCCACGGCUAACUACAUG